rnacentral:rRNA from 1 species
UACGGAGGGUGCGAGCGUUGUCCGGAAUCACUGGGCGUAAAGGGCGCGUAGGUGGCAAGGUAAGUUUGAUGUGAAAUCUCCGGGCUUAACCCGGAAACUGCAUGAUACUAUCUUGCUUGAGGGUUGGAGGGGGGACUGGAAUUCUUGGUGUAGCAGUGAAAUGCGUAGAUAUCAAGAGGAACACCAGUGGCGAAGGCGAGUCCCUGGACAACUCCUGACACUGAGGCACGAAAGCUAGGGGAGCAAACAGG